GACAAAAAAAGGAUCGGACUCUCUCCUCAAAAAUAGGGACAGCGGCGCAAGAGAGAGGAGAGAAAGAAAUCAGUGCAGCUUUCCCCAUUUCUCACCUCAUUCUCAGAAAAGAACAUGCCUAAGAGAGCUACUAAAAGAACUUUAGCAUUUUCCGUGACUAAGCUCCAAAUUUUUUUAGAAAGAAAUAAUCAAAUUGUGAAGUAAAAUCAUAUAGCUUGAUUCAACGCUUCAAUUUCAUGUCCUCGUAGUUUUUCGGGGAUUCUCAAGGUUGUUUGAAGCUGUAGCGGAGUUGUUUGUUUACUGAUUUAGGUAGUGCUGGCUGCUGAGCUCUGAUUUCUGAUGUCGGCAUUUACUUGGCUCUUUUCCCUUUUCUAAAUUUGAACCUUGUGCUGCUAGGAAAUUAGGAGGAUAAUACUACUUUAAAGGAAGUUCUUUUGGUAAGGGCAUCAGAAAGGAAACAAGAUCAAAUGCCACAAGAACAAUGCUAAAUCAAAGGACGUCAAGGCCAUCAAAAAGGAAACAAAAUCAAGCACAUGCACUAAAGGAAGUUAGAACAAUGCUAAAUCAAAGGACGUCGAGGCUAUCAAAAAGGAAACAAAUCAAGUGCAGCCGCUAAAGGAAAUCAGGCCCUACUUCAAGGAUUGAUUUGGAAUUUGGAGAUACUGAAGAUUGCUCGAUCAAGUCAAGCCAUAAAUCACUCCCUUGAUUAUGGAUAUGAAAAGGAAGGACGUAAACGAAUCCACCCCAUCCCUUGUGCAAGAUUCGGAGACACCCCUUGGGUCAAAUCUCUUAGAAUAUUUUGUGCCUCAAUCAAGGGUAAAUCUGCAACGGCUACUCAAAACACUCCUAUAAGAAGAUUGGCCAACUCAAGAAUUCGAUCACGUAACUACAUCAUCUGUUUCUAAGCCUUUCUUAUUCUUAGUACAAACAUUGUAUUCUUGAGUUUACAAGUGUCACAAAAGAUAGGAAGAAUUAGAACACAAAAUGAGUGUUGUGUCAAUAUUGGAAAGAAUUACUAUUUUUGUAUAUCGUUGGUGGUGAACGAACUAAAACCAUCGAUGUUGUAAACAUUUAUCAAAGAUCUAAGAGAACUCUUGUGACCCUA